rnacentral:rRNA from 1 species
CUCAGAUUGAACGCUGGCGGCAUGACCUAACACAUGCAAGUCGAACGCGAAAGUCCUUCGGGGCGAGUAGAGUGGCGGACGGGUGAGUAAUGCGUGGGAAUCUACCUCGUAGUGGGGGACAACCCGGGGAAACCCGGGCUAAUACCGCAUACGUCCUACGGGAGAAAGAGGGCCUCUGCUUGCACGCUCUCACUCCAGGAUGAGCCCACGUCCGAUUAGCUAGUUGGUAGGGUAAAGGCCUACCAAGGCCACGAUCGGUAGCUGGUCUGAGAGGAUGAUCAGCCACACUGGGACUGAGACACGGCCCAGACUCCUACGGGAGGCAGCAGUGGGGAAUAUUGGACAAUGGGCGCAAGCCUGAUCCAGCAAUGCCGCGUGUGUGAAGAAGGCCUGCGGGUUGUAAAGCACUUUCAGUGGGGAAGAACAGAUUCGGAUCAAUACCCCGGAGCCCUGACGUUACCCACAGAAGAAGCACCGGCUAACUCCGUG